GCGGUUUUUGAGGAUGUCCUUUGUCCGUACUAUAAUGCCUUUCGUCACCAGUCGAAUGGAAGCGAAGCGGCAACAAAGACUAGUC
rfam:Cochliobolus heterostrophus C5 unplaced genomic scaffold COCHEscaffold_28, whole genome shotgun sequence.